rnacentral:rRNA from 1 species
GCCUAACACAUGCAAGUCGAACGGUGAACACGGAGCUUGCUCUGUGGGAUCAGUGGCGAACGGGUGAGUAACACGUGAGCAACCUGCCCCUGACUCUGGGAUAAGCGCUGGAAACGGCGUCUAAUACUGGAUACGAGUAGCGACCGCAUGGUCAGUUACUGGAAAGAUUUUUUGGUUGGGGAUGGGCUCGCGGCCUAUCAGCUUGUUGGUGAGGUAAUGGCUCACCAAGGCGUCGACGGGUAGCCGGCCUGAGAGGGUGACCGGCCACACUGGGACUGAGACACGGCCCAGACUCCUACGGGAGGCAGCAGUGGGGAAUAUUGCACAAUGGGCGAAAGCCUGAUGCAGCAACGCCGCGUGAGGGAUGACGGCCUUCGGGUUGUAAACCUCUUUUCGCAGGGAAGAAGCGAAAGUGACGGUACCUGCAGAAAAAGCGCCGGCUAACUACGUGCCAGCAGCCGCGGUAAUACGUAGGGCGCAAGCGUUAUCCGGAAUUAUUGGGCGUAAAGAGCUCGUAGGCGGUUUGUCGCGUCUGCUGUGAAAUCCGGAGGCUCAACCUCCGGCCUGCAGUGGGUACGGGCAGACUAGAGUGCGGUAGGGGAGAUUGGAAUUCCUGGUGUAGCGGUGGAAUGCGCAGAUAUCAGGAGGAACACCGAUGGCGAAGGCAGAUCUCUGGGCCGUAACUGACGCUGAGGAGCGAAAGGGUGGGGAGCAAACAGGCUUAGAUACCCUGGUAGUCCACCCCGUAAACGUUGGGAACUAGUUGUGGGGUCCAUUCCACGGAUUCCGUGACGCAGCUAACGCAUUAAGUUCCCCGCCUGGGGAGUACGGCCGCAA